rnacentral:rRNA from 1 species
UACGUAGGGUGCAAGCGUUGUCCGGAAUUAUUGGGCGUAAAGAGCUCGUAGGCGGUCUGUCGCGUCUGCUGUGAAAAUCCAGGGCUCAACCCUGGACCUACAGUGGGUACGGGCAGACUAGAGUGCGGUAGGGGAGAUCGGAAUUCCUGGUGUAGCGGUGAAAUGCGCAGAUAUCAGGAGGAACACCGGUGGCGAAGGCGGAUCUCUGGGCCGUAACUGACGCUGAGGAGCGAAAGCAUGGGGAGCGAACAGG